UCAGAUUGCAGGCUGCAACUCGCCUGCAUGAAGUCGGAAUUGCUAGUAAUCGCAGAUCAGCAUGCUGCGGUGAAUACGUUCCCGGGCCUUGUACACACCGCCCGUCACACCAUGGGAGUCGGUAACACCCGAAGUCGGUAGCCUAACCGUAAGGAGGGCGCCGCCGAAGGUGGGAUUGAUGACUGGGGUGAAGUCGUAACAAGGUACC
rnacentral:rRNA from 1 species